rnacentral:rRNA from 1 species
GACGGGUAGUAUUUAUUAGAUAGAAACCAACCCUCUUCGGAGGCGCUCAGGUGAUUCAUGAUAACUCUGCGAAUCGCAUGGCCUCGUGCCGGCGAUGGAUCAUUCAAGUUUCUGCCCUAUCAGCUUUGGAUGGUAGGGUAUUGGCCUACCAUGGCUUUAACGGGUAACGGAUAAUUAGGGUUAGAUUCCGGAGAGGGGGCAUGAGAGAUGGCCACCACAUCCAAGGAAGGCAGCAGGCGCGUAAAUUACCCAAUCCCGACACAGGGAGGUAGUGACAAUAAAUAACAAUGCCGGGCCUUUCUAGGUCUGGCAAUUGGAAUGAGAACAAUUUAAAUCCCUUAUCGAGAAUCAAUUGGAGGGCAAGUCUGGUGCCAGCAGCCGCGGUAAUUCCAGCCCCAAUAGCGUAUAUUAAAGUUGUUGCAGUUAAAAAGCUCGUAGUUGGAUUUNUGGUGGGAGCGAUCGGUCUGGCGCUUANCGCGAGUACUUGCAU